GCCGGGCGUGGUGGCGGGCGCCUGUAGUCCCAGCUACUCGGGAGGCUGAGGCAGGAGAAUCGCUUGAAGCCAGGAGGUGGAGGUUGCAGUGAACCCAGAUUGCGCCACUGCACUCCAGCCUGGGUAACAGAGCGAGAUUCUGUCUCAA
rnacentral:SRP_RNA from 1 species